GAGGCAGCAACGCCGCGUGAACGAUGACGGCCGUUCGGGUUAGUAAAGUUCUUUCUGAGGGAAGAUGAUGACGGUACCUCAGGAAUAACGUCCCGGACUAACUACGUGCCAGCAGCCGACGGUAAACGUAGGGGACAGCGUUAUCCGGAUUUACUGGGCGUAAAGCGCCCGUAGGCGGUUUUCUAAGUUGGACGUGAAAGCUCCCGGCUUAACUGGGAGAGGCCGUUCAAAACUGGAAGACUUGAGUCUGGAAGAGGAGAGCGGAAUUCCCGGUGUAGUGGUGGAAUGCGUAGAUAUCGGGAGGAACACCAGUGGCGAAAGCGGCUCUCUGGUCCAGAACUGACGCUGAGGGGCGAAAGCGUGGGGAGCGAACGGGAUUAGAUACCCCGGUAGUCCACGCCGUAAACGAUGGAGACUAGGUGUAGGCGGAUAGAAACCCGUCUGUGCCGCAGCCAACGCGUUAAGUCUCCCGCCUGGGGAGUACGGCCGCAAGGUUA
rnacentral:rRNA from 1 species